rnacentral:rRNA from 1 species
AGGGAAUCUUCCGCAAUGGACGAAAGUCUGACGGAGCAACGCCGCGUGAGUGAAGAAGGUCUUCGGAUCGUAAAACUCUGUUGUUAGGGAAGAACAAGUAUCGUUCGAAUAGGGCGGUACCUUGACGGUACCUAACCAGAAAGCCACGGCUAACUACGUGCCAGCAGCCGCGGUAAUACGUAGGUGGCAAGCGUUGUCCGGAAUUAUUGGGCGUAAAGCGCGCGCAGGCGGUUUCUUAAGUCUGAUGUGAAAGCCCCCGGCUCAACCGGGGAGGGUCAUUGGAAACUGGGGAACUUGAGUGCAGAAGAGGAGAGUGGAAUUCCACGUGUAGCGGUGAAAUGCGUAGAGAUGUGGAGGAACACCAGUGGCGAAGGCGACUCUCUGGGCUGUAACUGACGCUGAGGCGCGAAAGCGUGGGGAGCAAAC